rnacentral:lncRNA from 13 species
UCAACAUGAAAUAUACAACAGCUAUAUAGACCGCUACAAAUAGCAUCUAGCUAUAUAGCCGUUGCACGUACUUGUUUACUUUGUGUUUCAAUUCUUUCCUGACGAGGACAGAGGAGCCUGACCCAAAGCUGCUCUCCCCAUGGGAACAUCUGUGCCAACCUGCCAAAAUCAGCUCAGAUCGGCUAGCUCUGUCCUUAAACCCUCCCCCCGCCUGCCAUCUGACACCUCUCAAAGGAGUGUUUUUUGGGGGGAGGUGUCUUCAAGAGAUCCAACACUACGCUCUGAGGGGAUUAAAGAGAGGAACUAGAGUCUUCCCGCUACAGACCGUAAAGAAUAACGAUGAGAAUAUAGGCCAGAUGCUCUUCCUAGUUAUUCAAGCUAAACAAGACAACCUCUGUACUCUCCUGUCCUCUCCUGUCCUCUCCUCAGGCUGUGGUGUGUUCAGUGGUCCAAGUUGUCAGCACCCCACCAGAUCAGGCCUGGCCCUUCUGUCCCCAUGCUGAGUCUGGGCAGACAGACAGAGCCAUGGAGCGAGAUCAGACAUGAGUGACAGCUGGACUGGACCCCACCCAUUACCAUCCCCACCACUCUCUGACAGUGGGUCACCUGGAAGUGAGAUAACACCGCCGAAGUGGGAUCUGGGGUUUGAUUCAGUUACCCUGCACAACGGUAGUAGAGAUUCAACUGAGUCAUGCUACCGAUGCCCACUGGCUUUUUUGUCAAUAUACUACAUUGUUUCAUCAGACUAGGCUACGGAGAAUCUCUGACUGAAAACCUCAAGCCUGAUUGAAAUACCUGCUGUCAGCGCUUCAACUUGAAUGGAAGAGAGAUGUAUAUCUUUCCUCCAUUACUUUCUUUACCCUCCUGCAUUUGCAGUAACUGUGUGUGUUGUGACACUACAUUGUCCUGUUCACCAGUCUCGGUGUAUGGAUGGAGUAGUAGCAGCCAGUGGACAGGAUUUCCACUAGAUGCCCAAGCUGCAAAGUCAAAAUGGUCUUUAUUGUAAAAAUGUAUGGAACCAAAAAUGUGCCUUUUUCGUCUUAUUUUAAGGUUAGGGUUAGGCAUAAGACUCGCAGUGUGGUUAAGGUUAGUGUUAUGUUUAACAUCUGAUUUUAAGAAGAGAAGUUGUAGAACUAGGCGGGGCUUACGACUUUGAAACUUGGCCAGAUAGUGACGACCAGAGGACAGCGAGGUCAUCCAUCUCUCUCUCUCUCUGUAAUUCUGCAGCCCAGAUCCUAACCUUAAUCCUGUGGCCUCACCAACUCACACAGAGAGAUCCGGAGGAGUGGGGGCGGGGGGGUUUGGUGACAUGCCACCUGGCUGUCCGGACACUGCCAGGACCACUGUGAGUGUGUGUAUGUGUGUGUGCCAGGCCGACAGUCACCAGAUGGCGGUGCCAGCGUGGCACAGGCAUCAGGCGCAAGUGGCGGUUGGAGAAGUGAGAAAAAGAUGACAGGGCAAGGGGGGAGGUAGGUUGGGUGCCUGCGGUCGAUGCCAGUGUGUGUGUGUGUGCAGACAGACAGGGUGGAGACAGACAAACAUCAAGUGGGAAUGGGGGGAAGGACGGUGUGGCUGUCGACUGUGUGUGUUUGUAAAGGACCUCUUUGUUUUGUGCCGUGUUUGUCUUUAUGAGGGAAAACAUGGAAAAAUAUGAUUCUGUGUUGCUGAAAGUGCCAUGUUGAGAAAAAAAACAUGUUUUAUAUUCUUGUUUUGAGGAUCUUUAUAGCAAUCAUUUCAUGGCGGAUUUUCUCUCAAACAUUAGUAGUUGUUCACACACACAUGCACGUGUAACCGAUGUGAAAUGGCUAGCUAGUUAGCGGUGGUGCGCGCUAAUAGCGUUUCAAUCGGCGGUGAUGUCACUCGUUCUGAGACCUUGAAGUAGUUGUUCCCCUUGCUCUGCAAGG